rnacentral:rRNA from 1 species
UACGUAGGGUGCAAGCGUUGUCCGGAAUUAUUGGGCGUAAAGAGCUCGUAGGCGGUUUGUCGCGUCUGCUGUGAAAACUCAGGGCUUAACUCUGAGCUUGCAGUGGAUACGGGCAGACUAGAGUGCGGUAGGGGAGACUGGAAUUCCUGGUGUAGCGGUGGAAUGCGCAGAUAUCAGGAGGAACACCGAUGGCGAAGGCAGGUCUCUGGGCCGCAACUGACGCUGAGGAGCGAAAGCAUGGGGAGCGAACAGG